rnacentral:lncRNA from 1 species
UGGUGGCACUGGGCACCGUAUCCACUGUGAGCUUAACACACCCGCUUUAAGGACACUGACUGCUAUUCAAUCUAUAACAGUGAAAAAAGUUUUUUUUUUUAAAUGCAAGCUAUUUUGACACCAGUGAGUGGUGGCACUGGGCACCGUAUCCACUGUGAGCUUAACACACCCCCUUUAAGGACACUGACUGCUAUUCAAUCUAUAACAGUGAAAAAAGGUUUUUUUUUUAAAUGCAAGCUAUUGUCACACCAGUGAGUGGUGGCACUGGGCACCGUAUCCACUGUGAGCUUAACACACCCGCUUUAAGGACACUGACUGCUAUUCAAUCUAUAACAGUGAAAAAAGUUUUUUUUUUAAAUGCAAGCUAUUGUCACACCAGUGAGUGGUGGCACUGGGCACCGUAUCCACUGUGAGCUUAACACACCCGCUUUAAGGACACUGACUGCUAUUCAAUCUAUAACAGUGAAAAAAGUUUGUUUUUUUAAAUGCAAGCUAUUGUGACACCAGAUAUAAGUGGUG